rnacentral:rRNA from 1 species
ACUCCUACGGGAGGCAGCAGUAGGGAAUCUUCCACAAUGGGCGCAAGCCUGAUGGAGCAACACCGCGUGAGUGAAGAAGGGUUUCGGCUCGUAAAGCUCUGUUGUUAAAGAAGAACACGUAUGAGAGUAACUGUUCAUACGUUGACGGUAUUUAACCAGAAAGUCACGGCUAACUACGUGCCAGCAGCCGCGGUAAUACGUAGGUGGCAAGCGUUAUCCGGAUUUAUUGGGCGUAAAGAGAGUGCAAGCGGUUUUCUAAGUCUGAUGUGAAAGCCUUCGGCUUAACCGGAGAAGUGCAUCGGAAACUGGAUAACUUGAGUGCAGAAGAGGGUAGUGGAACUCCAUGUGUAGCGGUGGAAUGCGUAGAUAUAUGGAAGAACACCAGUGGCGAAGGCGGCUACCUGGUCUGCAACUGACGCUGAGACUCGAAAGCAUGGGUAGCGAACAGGAUUAGAUACCCUGGUAGGAUAGCG